AUUGAACGCUGGCGGCAGGCCUAACACAUGCAAGUCGAACGGUAACAGGAAACAGCUUGCUGUUUCGCUGACGAGUGGCGGACGGGUGAGUAAUGUCUGGGAAACUGCCUGAUGGAGGGGGAUAACUACUGGAAACGGUAGCUAAUACCGCAUAACGUCGCAAGACCAAAGAGGGGGACCUUCGGGCCUCUUGCCAUCGGAUGUGCCCAGAUGGGAUUAACUAGUAGGUGGGGUAACGGCUCACCUAGGCGACGAUCCCUAGCUGGUCUGAGAGGAUGACCAGCCACACUGGAACUGAGACACGGUCCAGACUCCUACGGGAGGCAGCAGUGGGGAAUAUUGCACAAUGGGCGCAAGCCUGAUGCAGCCAUGCCGCGUGUAUGAAGAAGGCCUUCGGGUUGUAAAGUACUUUCAGCGGGGAGGAAGGGAGUAAAGUUAAUACCUUUGCUCAUUGACGUUACCCGCAGAAGAAGCACCGGCUAACUCCGUGCCAGCCGCCGCGGUAAGAC
rnacentral:rRNA from 1 species